CUCCCCGGUGCACUCUUCUGUGGGCAGGCCAGCAUCAGUUCGGGCGGUGGGAGAAAGACCUGUGUCAUGUAGCUGUUCUCGGGCAGUGUUAUAGGGCAGGUGGAAUGCAACCAGCCUGAACUGAGGUCCGCGCUUUUGCUAGGAUGCUGGCGUAAUGGCUGUAAGCGGCCCGUCUUGAAACACGGACCAAGGAGUCUAACAUCUAUGCGAGUGUUUGGGUGUCAAGCCCGAGCGCGUAAUGAAAGUGAACGGAGGUGGGAACCCCUCGGGGUGCACCAUCGACCGAUCCUGAUGUCUUCGGAUGGAUUUGAGUAAGAGCAUAGCUGUUGGGACCCGAAAGAUGGUGAACUAUGCCUGAAUAGGGUGAAGCCAGAGGAAACUCUGGUGGAGGCUCGCAGCGGUUCUGACGUGCAAAUCGAUCGUCAAAUUUGGGCAUAGGGGCGAAAGACUAAUCGAACUAUCUAGUAGCUGGUUCCUGCCGAAGUUUCCCUCAGGAUAGCAGUAACGUUUUCAGUUUUAUGAGGUAAAGCGAAUGAUUAGAGGCCUGGGGGUUGAAACAACCUUCACCUAUUCUCAAACUUUAAAUAUGUAAGAAGUCCUUGUUUCUUAAUUGAACGUGGGCAUUUGAAUGUAUCGUUACUAGUGGGCCAUUUUUGGUAAGCAGAACUGGCGAUGCGGGAUGAACCGAACGCGGGGUUAAGGUGCCAGAAUGCACGCUCAUCAGACACCACAAAAGGUGUUGGUUCAUCUAG
rnacentral:rRNA from 1 species